rnacentral:rRNA from 1 species
GGAUUCCCCUAGUAACUGCGAGUGAAGCGGGAAAAGCUCAAAUUUAAAAUCUGGCGGUCUUUGGCYGUCCGAGUUGUAGUCUGGAGAAGUGCUUUCCGCGCCGGACCGUGUACAAGUCUCUUGGAACAGAGCGUCAUAGAGGGUGAGAAUCCCGUCUUUGACACGGACUACCGGUGCUUUGUGAUGCGCUCUCAAAGAGUCGAGUUGUUUGGGAAUGCAGCUCAAAACGGGUGGUGAAUUCCAUCUAAAGCUAAAUAUUGGCGAGAGACCGAUAGCGAACAAGUACCGUGAGGGAAAGAUGAAAAGCACUUUGGAAAGAGAGUUAAACAGUACGUGAAAUUGCUGAAAGGGAAACGCUUGAAGUCAGUCGCGUCGUCCGGAACUCAGCCUUGCUUUCGCUUGGUGCACUUUCCAGACGACGGGCCAGCAUCGAUUUAGACCGUCGGAGAAGGGCUAAAGUAAUGUGGCACCUUUUGGUGUGUUAUAGACUUUGGUCGCAUGCGACGGUCGGGAUCGAGGACCGCAGCGCGCCGCAAGGCAGGGGUUCGCCCACUUUUGCGCUUAGGAUGCUGGCAUAAUGGCUUUAAACGACCCGUCUUGAAACACGGACCAAGGAGUCUAACAUGCCUGCGAGUGUUUGGGUGGAAAACCCGAGCGCGUAAUGAAAGUGAAAGUUGAGACCUCUGUCGUGGAGGGCAUCGACGCCCGGACCUGACGUUUUCUGACGGAUCCGCGGUAGAGCAUGUAUGUUGGGACCCGAAAGAUGGUGAACUAUGCCUGAAUAGGGUGAAGCCAGAGGAAACUCUGGUGGAGGCUCGUAGCGAUUCUGACGUGCAAAUCGAUCGUCAAAUUUGGGUAUAGGGGCGAAAGACUAAUCGAACCAUCUAGUAGCUGGU